rnacentral:rRNA from 1 species
UACGAAGGGGGCUAGCGGUGUAUGGAGUUACGGGGCGGUAAGCGCGUGUCGGCGGGUCGUUAAGUCGGGGGUGAAAGCCCAGAGCUCAACUCUGGAAUUGCCUUCGAUACUGGCGGUCUGGAGCAGAGAAGAGGCGAGUGGAAAUCCGAGUGUAGAGGUGAAAUUCGUAGAUAUUGGGAGGAACACCAGUGGCGAAGGCGGCUCGCUGGUCUCUUGCUGACGCUGAGACGCGAAAGCGUGGGGAGCAAACAGG